GACGAACGCUGGCGGCGUGCCUAAUACAUGCAAGUUGAGCGAUGAAGAUUGGUGCUUGCACCAAUUUGAAGAGCAGCGAACGGGUGAGUAACGCGUGGGGAAUCUGCCUUUGAGCGGGGGACAACAUUUGGAAACGAAUGCUAAUACCGCAUAACAACUUUAAACAUAAGUUUUAAGUUUGAAAGAUGCAAUUGCAUCACUCAAAGAUGAUCCCGCGUUGUAUUAGCUAGUUGGUGAGGUAAAGGCUCACCAAGGCGAUGAUACAUAGCCGACCUGAGAGGGUGAUCGGCCACAUUGGGACUGGGACACGGCCCAAACCCCCACGGGGGGCAGCAGUAGGGAAUCUUCGGCAAUGGACGAAAGUCUGACCGAGCAACGCCGCGUGAGUGAAGAAGGUUUUCGGAUCGUAAAACUCUGUUGGUAGAGAAGAACGUUGGUGAGAGUGGAAAGCUCAUCAAGUGACGGUAACUACCCAGAAAGGGACGGCUAACUACGUG
rnacentral:rRNA from 1 species